CAGGGCGACGCGAAGCCCGUGCUGGGGCGACCUGGAGCGCGGGCAGGGCCCGGGUCCCGAGGUGGCGCGUUUGCGGGCCCCUCGGCCGGCGUCCACGCAGGGGCGCUCUGAGCACCGGCCGGAGGGCUGCGGAAAGAGUCUGGUCCUGGCCCCCAGGUGGCCGCCUCCCCCCGCUGCCCUCCUCCCGGAGGCACAGGGCCUUGGCCGGAGGAGAGAGCUGACUUGCGGGCAUCGCACCCCAGCACAGCACGGGCAGAAGAUGAGCCGAGCGGGGCUCUCGGCUUCCCCACGGGCUCCCGGAAGAGCCGGGGCGGGCUCCUGCGUUCUCUCGGCCUCGGUUUCCUCAGCCGCCACGUUACGAUAACCUCAGGCACUACAGACAGAGAUCCAGGAGAGCUGAUUCUGGUAAGAAUCUUCCCCCUUCCCUGGCUUCUGUCAGUUUUCCCCUGAUCCCUUCUCCAAGGCUCCAGAGUGAGUGGGGUUUGAAGUAGAGAGUGAAGCUGAGGUAUCUACCAGAAUUUGGCAAAGUUUUUUUUAUUAAUUUUAUUUUAAUUUCCCUUUGGCUGUUUAAGGGAAUACUGGUAGCAGUUUACUGGAGAAUCCCUUGGAGUCCCAUCAACCCUGAAAGGGGCCCAAGUGGUAGUAGAUACAGGGGCCUCUGGAUAUAGGCCAUUAUAAUCUGGAUAUAGGCAGACUUUUGUUUAUGGUCAUGUAGUCUAUUUAGAGUGGAAAGGCAGUACAGAUAGAGGAUUAGUGAGUACUGAGGUCAAGGAGGGUAGAAGGGAGUAGUAGAAGUCAUUUAAUUCUUAUAGUCUUUUGUUUUAGGUACCUCUUGUGUCCUUGAUUUUUUUUAGUCUUUUGCAAUAAAUCUUUCCAUGAGGCUAUUUUUGAAGCCUUUCAAAGGCUUCUGCAUGCCAGUUAAAAUAGGCAUACUCUUCUGUUUGUUUGAUCUGGGAACACUUACUUUCAAGUUCACUUUUUAAAUGAAUGAUCUUGUCUAAUUAGAAUAUUCCCCAUAGGGGCGCCUGCUUCUUCCUCACCCACUCCCCCUCCUUGUGUUUCCUCUCUCGCUAUGUAUGUAUCUGUCAAAUAAAUAAAUGAAAUCUUAAAAAAAAAAAAAGAAUAUUCCCCAUAAAGGCCAUUUUAAAUCUAGGUUGUCUUAGUCAGAUUUGGCCAUUUUUGUAGAUACCUACAACUUCAGGGACCACAGUCCUUAGUCAUAAACAUUUGUGCUGGAAGAUGGCACACUUAAUUCUUUGGAACUUGAGGAUCCCAUUUCUUUAGUGAAGCUUUGGGUCUCUGAGAGCCGAAUUAAUACCUAAGAGGGAUGUACCAUUGGGUUGGGGAUUUUGUGGUGUUUUACAGUGUGCCUUGUUACACAGAAGUUUUCUUGAGGUUGGCACGUGGCUUAGUGUCGAUCUAACCCAUUCUGUGAUCAAUUCAUCCUAGCACGGGAGUCUUCCAGUUAGGUGUCAAACACUCCAAGAGCUUUUAGGUGCCCAUGCCCACCAAUUCUGUGGUUUUGGCUUCUGAGAUCCCCAUUAGGAAUAGAUCUGUUCUUCCUUUCACAAGAAAAUGUCUUUAUAGUGGUGGAUACCCUAAUGGCUUUUUUUUUUUUUUAAAGAUUUUAUUUUCUUUAUUUGACAGAGAGAGAGAGACAGCUAGAGAGGGAACACAAGCAGGGGGAGUGGCAGAGGGAGAAGCAGGCUUCCCGCCGAGCAGGGAGCCCAAUGCGGGGCUCAAUCCCAGGACCCUGGGAUCAUGACCUGAGCCGAAGGCAGACGCUUAACGACUGAGCCACCCAGGUGCCCCCCCAAUGGCUUUUAAUAGUCCAACUUGCACCUACUUAGAUUUUGAUGUGUCAUUGGUCAGAAAAGUCUGAAUUUCUUUUCUUAAUUCCCUUCCCCAAGUUUCCUAGCAGUUUGUGCUGUGGACUUACCUUGAAGCUUUAUGAAUCCUGUCCCCCCAGUGGCUGCCAUCUUGCUUUCUUUAGACUGAGGGGUAACCAUUAUUUUCUCUUGAAAUAACCCAUCAUAAUUCAACGAGACUUACUGUUGCUGGCUGCCUGCACAGUUCCUGAGACUUGUAAGGACUCCCCACAAAGGUGCUUACCUUGUACAUGAGUUUGGCCACAAACCUAAAUGUUGUGGUUCACUAAGUCUCACUGUGAAAACCUGAAGGCUCUCACACCCCAGCUUUUCACCUGGAAGGAAUAAGGUGAACAAACUUGAGGAGCUCAGAAUGCAAAACAAGCAGAACUUGAUCAGAGAGAAGCUUACCAGAGUAGUCGGAGAGGCAACAAAUAAAAUAGCUUUCUGGGUACCUUCACCUGCUUCUAGAAGCCGUCCCCAGAAUCUUUAGCAGCUGUCUUCAGGUCCCAUCUCAUUGCAAUACUGGCAAUUUGCAAAACCUAAGACGAUUUAGUAAUCAGUUUGAUGUCCUUUCUUCACGGGAAAACAGUCCUUGAUUCGGGGAGUACAGUGCUCACAAGUAGUUGGAGCAUCCUUCCCAAGGAAUUUUGGGCAAGUGUGAGUUUUAAAAAACAUUAGAAGAGGCAACAGGGAAACAAGCAUGAUUGGCUAGGAGUUAGGGAUUCCUUUAUAAGGAUAGCAGGUCCUUUUUUCUAAUAUAAGGUAAACUAGCUAAAACAGAGUUGGAGGAUUGUGAUUUGUAUAUGUUAAAUUUCCUUGACAGGUGUUUCCCCUUAAGUGCAGGCUGACUGAAGUUUGGAUUUGUGAUGUGGGCCAGGUCGCUGGGCCUGCCUCCAUUCUGUGGGUCCUGAUACACAAAUUAACUUUAUCAGUAGUCAAGAACAGAUCAUGUGUUCUGUGGCAAGGUCAGAUUUACUCUUGAGACAAUUGCUAUGGUGGGCAGUAUGGGUUAAAAUAGCUUUGAGAGGGCCAAGACUGAAGGUAGAAAGUCCACAAAGGCAGCAGCUGAAGUAGAAGUGGUAAGGUCCAGAAUAAGGCCUGGACCUUAUUCUGGAGGGGAAGUACAGGGGCUGGAGGGGAAGUACAGUCCUAUCUCAGUGGCCAAUUCGAAUUUGGGAAGGAAGGAGAGGGGGGAGUCUAGAAUAUUUUGACCCCAGGUUUUUAAUUUGGACGACAACUGUGGAUCCUGAUCCACUGGCCAAUGGCCAAUAACACGCCUCCAUCUCCUUGAAACACGGGUAAAAACUUGGCUCUCUUCAGACUGUUCAUAUCAAAGGGUUGUGGUAGAGAUGAGUAGCAAGUAGAAAACGGACAAGUUUCUCUUUUUAGAUCAAAACUUAAAUAGGCAGUUCUAGGAGAGUUGCUCUAGGAAAAAGAGUUCAUUUUCUUCACUUCACACCUGGAAGUCCUCAGGGAUGGAAAAAACUGCUUUACAAGGAAGAAAAGUCGAAGUUUUUUUAAUGAUUAUAUAUAUUUCUUUGUCAGUAGUAAAUGUUUUUGUACACAAUACUUUGUUCAGUUUGAGGAGUCCACGAGUGCAAUUAAAAGCCAAGUUUUCGAAUUAACUAUUCAAGUCUGGCAAGAAAGGAAGUGUGAACUUUAUUGAAUUUACAUAUGUAAGUGUGCGCACCUGCUUUUUAGAUAGAACUGAAUGUAGUUGUCAUUAAAAUGCUUUUUUCCCCCUAUAACAUUUUGUUGUCUGCACAAUCACAGUGGAUCGCUGAAGUGCGUGGUAACCUCUUCUGUAAUGCCGCCUCUUAGAUAAAGUAUAGUUUGGGAGGGAUUGCAAUCUCUUUUCUUUCCACUUCCUGUGUGGAGCGCAGGGUACACUA